rnacentral:snRNA from 1 species
GUGCUCACUUCAGUAGCACGUAUUCAAAAAGUUGGAAGGAUACAAAGAUUAUAUUGCCCCGCGUAAGGAUGACAUGAAGCAUUUCAUAUUUUU